GUGCCAGCAGCCGCGGUAAGACGAACCGUGCAAACGUUGUUCGGAAUCACUGGGCUUAAAGGGCGCGUAGGCGGGCAGGACAGUCGAAGGUGAAAUCCCACGGCUCAACCGUGGAAGUGCCUCCGAUACUUCUUGUCUUGAGGGAGAUAGGGGCGUGCGGAACUUCCGGUGGAGCGGUGAAAUGCGUAGAUAUCGGAAGGAACACCGGUGGCGAAAGCGGCGCGCUGGAUCUCUACUGACGCUGAGGCGCGAAAGCCAGGGGAGCAAACGGGAUUAGAUACCCCGGUAGUCCUGGCCCUAAACGAUGGGUACUAGGUAGUGGACUUACAUGGGUUCACUGCCGAAGCAAAAGUGUUAAGUACCCCGCCUGGGGAGUAUGGUCGCAAGGCUGAA
rnacentral:rRNA from 1 species